CAUGGGUGUGUCAAAUGAUACAAAAAGAUUCAGUGUCGCUUUGUUUUAUUCUCAUUCAGCCAUGCUGCGUUGCAGCGUGUCGUGCCGCUCUCUAGGACUCCUAAACUUAUGUGCAUCUCAGUCGAAUGCUCGGUGUUAAACAUGAAGGUAGUUUGUUGACGUUGCCGACUUCGAAACUAUUGCUUAAGUAAAAAGUGAAUAAAAUACAUAUAUAUAUAUAUAUGUAAAAUAAAUCGCUAUGGCUUGCCGACCACUGGUAUAGACAAUCCGCCAACGAUAGAAAUAAAAGCAUCUUAAACAACAAUAAAAAUAAAAGCUAGUUAUCAAAAAUCAAUGUGUACAUAUACAUACAUACGUAGACAUGUAUGUAUGUAUGCAUGCAUAUGUAAAACCAUAGUUUACAAGGAAACUACAAUCAAAACAAUUCAGCACAAUCUUUCUUUCUUCGUUGGAGCAAUAGCGUACAAUAACAAAAUUCAUUGAUAAGAAAAUACCAAAGCUGGGUGCUUGGAGAAAGCGGGAACACUCAUCCCACUCCACAAGCAAGUCUAGGGGUGUCCACUUGAAUAAUACCUCGAUGUAAAACAUCGUAAGCUUGCAUCGAUGUUUCACGAUGUAUCGCUUAAGUACAUCGAUUAUUUUAAGUAUCAGGAUUACUUUAAAUUUUCCAUGCUAAAAAGUUACUUUGCCAUGUAAAGAUUCGGUUCAUCCAUUUUCUAUUUUCCUGUAGGGAUAACAUAAGGACAGAAACUUGAAGAAAAUUUGCAUUAAACAAAUUAGAAGAAAAUAAAGUUCAUGUUAAAAGGAA